rnacentral:rRNA from 1 species
CCUACGGGUGGCUGCAGUGAGGAAUAUUGGUCAAUGGGCGGAACCCUGAACCAGCCAAGUAGCGUGCAGGAUGACGGCCCUACGGGUUGUAAACUGCUUUUAUACGGGAAUAACUCGCGUUACGUGUAGGGUUUUGCAUGUACCGCAUGAAUAAGGACCGGCUAAUUCCGUGCCAGCAGCCGCGGUAAUACGGAAGGUCCGGGCGUUAUCCGGAUUGAUUGGGUUUAAAGGGAGCGUAGGCCGCAUCUCAAGCCAAGGGUGAAAUCCCCUGGCUCAACGUGGGAACUGCCUUUGAAACUGGCAAACUGGAGUGUGUGAGAGGAUGGUGGAAUUCCAGGUGUAGGAGUGAAAUCCGUAGAUAUCUGGAGGAACAUCAGUGGCGAAGGCGACCAUCUGGAACAUAACUGACGCUGAGGAGCGAAAGCGUGGGUAGCAAACAGGAUUAGAUACCCCAGUAGUC